AUGGCUGUGGUGUACUGACAACACAGUGUUAGCUUGAAUGGCCGCGUUGUGCCGAUGACUUCUAAAUGUAGACUUGAAAUAAAAUGUACAUUUUCUUUUGGAAGAAAAGGACCUGUCCGACAUGGAGGGAGUUGAGCCCUAUGAUUAUAAAUUUGUAAAAUGGAUGAUAAAGGAAAAGAAACUGGCAGCUAUUCCAAUUACAGCAUUCUGUGGGGCUGAAUCUACGAAGCAAUUUGAAAAAUACAUCCGCUUGUGUUUCAUCAAGAACGAUAGCACGUUGGAUGCAGCCGAAGCAAUUCUGAAAGGCUGGAACAAAGACUCGUCUGUUUGAUAAAAUGCACUCUACUGUUUUUCCUUUGUGGAAAGCCUCUUUCUUUAGGUUAUUUGUAGACCUGGAUGCUGCUUCUAUUGUUGAAUACUGGAUUCCAUUAAGCCGAUACAAUACAUGUUGUACCUGCUACCCCGGGUCAUUGCCAGCCCCCUGUGAAAUGAAUAAAAACACAAAGGGCUUAUUACAGUGUUAGAUUCAGUCUGUCAGGUAAAUAAUUGUAAUACAAGACUGAUAAAUAGUUCUAAUACAAAUGACAGCUGAAUAGUUAACAUUGUAUCUCUCCUAUUUCUAUAGAACCUAAAUAUCACCUUCUGUUUUUGUUUUAGACUGUAUACGGUCGUUUUAGUUUCACAAACUUGAUAGCCAAAUCUCUUUCUACAGUCUUUGUCCUGCAUGACAACUUUCAUGAUUAUUUGUUUGUUUAUUUAUUUAGCAGACUGUGAUUACAACAAUAUGAUUACAACAAUAUCUCUCAAAACGAUGUACUCUUUUUAAUAUACAGUAUAGAUAGACCCUGGUCUUGGCAAAUAUUUAGCCUACUGUUAGCAUAUAAAUCUCAUUAAUUAAUCUAGGCUAUAGUGUGCCUUUAAAUGAAGAGGACAGUUUUGUUUCUGUUAAUAGGAAACUAUCACAAGCAGAGAAGCAGUAAAAACACUAUACUAAACUGUUCUACUGUUGUUGGCUUACUAGAACAGUUUAAUGAAUAUCACAUUUGAUUUUACUCAUUAAAACAUAAAACAUUAUUCAACUAACUUGAAUAGCUGAAGCUUUGUAAAUAAGGUAUAGGGUCAUAACAGGUUGAGUUUGCACAAUGUCAUAAAACAUGAUGCUGUACAUGUUCAUUUAAUGAAACUUGAUUUGCUGAUCUAUUUUAUUUACAAAGUCAAUUUGUUUCUGUAGCAUUUGGUACUGUAGGUGGUUAGUUUAUCAAUAACCAGAGCCCUCACAACUUUAAAAGGGCAAUCCACAUUGAUGAAGUUUGGUUACGUUUGUUUGAACUGUACGCCGCUAACAUGGAACUAAAAAAAUGUAUUACCUUUAAUGUUUUACCUUUUCUCA